AGACAAGUAGGCGAGGUAAAAAGAAACUUUAUUAGCUAGCCAAUGUGAAGGAAGAAAGGGCCAAGUUCACUGGUCUCCGGUGGUGGAGGCCGAGGAAGUCGCUCCCGCGUUCUCCGGCGAGGUUCCUAGGUCCGCAUACGAGGAGAGGCCGAGGAAGUUCGCGCCGCGCGCCUGCCAGGAGCGGCUUUUCUGUCUACGGCUUGGGAGUGGGAGGGCAAUAGACGGGACAUGGGCGUGUCGGGGGCAUUCCGUAGGUGCGGCCAGGUAAGUUUCCGCUUAUGCCAUGCUGCGCCUGCGCAGUUGGUCUGUAUUGUUCCCGGGCGUGGGCUGCAUUUUCCCGCGCGCGGGUAAGUUGGUGAUGAAGAACCCGGAAAUGCGCCGUCUUAGUCGUCUUUGUCCUCUCCCCCCGUCCAGACAUGGCAUGCGUCUGGUGAGAAUUCAUCUGAAGGUAACAACAAUUGAAAUAUGCUGUACCAAUCCUCGUGCCCUAUUUCCCAAGCAGUUUGCAAGCUGGGACCCCCAGCCAGCGAUGUCCCACCUGGGCCUAACUUGGUCACGCUACCUGCUGCAGGAGAUGGUCACCCAUUCAGUCAAGUCUUGCUUUUGCACCGGUUCCCAAGUUCCUGUCUAGCAUCCAAGAAGAAUGAGGUUGCUGACCAUCAAACAGUGAGUAAGGCGGGAAGUUUUUUUGGGUGAUGAAACAGCUUUCAGUGGGGAGGAUAUGUGAGGUAGUCCCCCUAUCUGAAGUCAGUAAAACUCCUUUAACAUGGCUGAGACUAGGGCUUUUAUGGGCUCAGAAUAGGGAAUGUGUGCUGAUUGCUUUGUGAGUAUGCAAAAAAGUUUAAAGGAAAGACACCACUCAAAGGUGGGCACAGCAGUAUAGAAAACGAAUUAGGAAAGAGCAGGUAUAUGUAAAAUAGGUGAAAGGUAGGGAUCUAUCAGAGGAAAGCACACCAAACAGGAGGACAGGUUUGCUAUCCUGUCUGAGGGCUUACCUAGGACUGUCUUUGGCUUGGAGGUUGGGUUUCACCGGGGACCCAUCCUUAUAGACCUAGGAAUUUGGCUGCCUCUGGCCUCUAUCAGUAUUUGUUUUUUUGUUAUUCCAUUAGUUUGCUAAGGAUAAUGGCCUCCAGAUCCACCCAUGUUCUUACAAAGGACAUGAUCUCAUUCUUUUUUAUGGCUGUGUAUACUCCAUGGUGUACAUGUAUAACAUUUGCUGUAUCCAAUCUGGCAUUGAUGGGCAUUUAGGUUGAUUUAAUGUUCUUGCUAUUAUGAAAUUAGUGCUGCAAUGAAGAAAUGCAUGCCUAUGUCUUUAUGGUAGAAUGAUUUAUAUUCCUUUGGGUAUACACCCAGUAAUGAGAUUGGUAGGUUGAAUGGCAGUUCUGUUUUUAGCUCUUUGGGGAAUCUCCAUACUGUUUUCCACAGUAGUUGUACUAAUUUACACUCCCACCAACAUUGUGUAAGUCUUCCCUUUUCUCUGCAACCUCACCAGCAUCUGUUAUUUCUUUACUUUGUAAAUAAUAACCAUUCUGACUGGUAUGACGUGGUAUCUCAUUGUGGUUUUGAUUUGCACUUCUCUCAUGAUCCAGUGAUAUUGAUGUAGCUUUUAAAUGCUUGUGACCACCUGUAUGUCUUCUUUUGAAAAGUGUCUGCUCCUGUUGUUUGCCCACUUUUUAAUGAGGUUGUUUGUUUUUUUCUUGAAAAUUUGUCUAUGUUUCAUAUACAUAUAGGUGUUGGAUAUUAGACCUUUGUCAGAUGCAUAGUUGACAAAAUUUUUCAAACUUUGAAUGCAUAUUUUUAUCACAUUAAUUCAUUUACUG
ensembl:lncRNA